rnacentral:rRNA from 1 species
UACGGAGGGGGCUAGCGUUGUUCGGAAUUACUGGGCGUAAAGCGCGCGUAGGCGGCUUUGUAAGUCAGAGGUGAAAGCCUGGAGCUCAACUCCAGAACUGCCUUUGAGACUGCAUCGCUAGAAUCAUGGAGAGGUAAGUGGAAUUCCGAGUGUAGAGGUGAAAUUCGUAGAUAUUCGGAAGAACACCAGUGGCGGAGGCGACUUACUGGACGUGUAUUGACGCUGAGGUGCGAAAGCGUGGGGAGCAAACAGG